UACGAAGGGGGCUAGCGUUGUUCGGAGUUACUGGGCGUAAAGGGCGCGUAGGCGGCCGGUCAAGUCGGGUGUGAAAGCCCGGGGCUCAACCCCGGAUGUGCAUUCGAGACUGAUUGGCUUGAGGACGGGAGAGGAUGGUGGAAUUCCCAGUGUAGAGGUGAAAUUCGUAGAUAUUAGGAAGAACACCAGUGGCGAAGGCGGCCAACUGGCCCGAUACUGACGCUCAUGUGCGAAAGCGUGGGGAGCAAACAGG
rnacentral:rRNA from 1 species